ACCGUCUUUUGUCAACGAAUUUGUGGCUAGGAGAUAGGGAGGGUUUCUUGAGAAGGUGUUUGUUGACACUUUUGGUGACUCAAUUGGUUAUUAACUGCAUAAAAAAGUUAGGGAUCAAUCCCGACCCCCAAACAAAAUUUUUAGUUAAAACUACACAUAAAUUUUAAAAGCAUUGAUAGUAAUAAGCCCACCUAAUUGCAUUUCCAUUGGACCAGCGAUGGAUUGAUUUGAAUAGAAGAUUUCGAGCAUAAUUGGAUUGAUUGGACUAAGCUGGUACAAAUUAAAAUUUUGGCCAAGUUCAUUAAUAAUUUAAUAUGGCCAACAUUUUGCGUAUGAUAUGCAAGGAGGUUGUAGGUCGGCAUAUAUUGAAACCUAGGACCUUAAUAUCCUAAACUACAACAUCUGAAUUCUGGUGGGACGUAAAAUUUGGGGUAUUACACUGGGAGGGAAAAAAGUUUCUCUAAUUAGGCUGAAGCGUUUGGGUAUCGACACGUUAAAAUUAGGUCGAGGCGUGUGGGUAUCGACAUGUUAAAAUAAGGAACAUCAUUUUAUCAGCCCAUCUACUGACAUGUGGGGCAUCUACUGACAUGUGGGGCGACCCUUAGUGAAGUUUUGGAGCUCCUACGUUGUGGGGAGUUUCCGAGCUCCUACGUUGUGGUGAGGUACGCAUUAACCACCAAAGAUCCACAACUCGAGAAGAGGCUCAACAUACGUGGUUCAAGAUUGAGAGCAAAGGGUCUUCACGUUCUCCACACGCAAAAAAGCCAGAGGAGAAAAACAAAAGAAAAGAGAGGGAAAGAAAGACCCACUUCCGUUGCUGCAACAUCCACGAUUCGCACAGAGAGAACAAGUAACAACAGUGAUAUUCUUGCAGUUCUCGGACGUGUCUUGCAUCUUCACAUCCGCACACCUCGUCGCUCCAUACGCCAGACCGGCAAGUCUCCGAGCAUUCCUUAGCAACGCUGGCGGCAAGCCUCAACGCACCAGUGAUCGUUGACCCACCUGCACCUACUGGCCACGUCAGUGUCCUGUGUCCUCGCCGGUCACGCCCAGUAGCUGUUCCCUCUCAACUCCAGUCCACGACCUGCGAUACUCAACAUAAAUUGGCAAAGUAAAUAUUCUUACAAUUAUUAUUAUUAUUAUUAUUAUUAUUAUUAUUAUUAUUAUUAUUAUUAUUAUUAUUUACAUCAUUACUACUGUCAAUAGUACAUGUUGUUCCAAAAAUGUUAACCAGAACUUAGAGGUUAGCAGAAAUCCAAAUGAAUUAAUAAAUUCACAAAAUAACUAUAAGACUUCCUCUGAGUGUUAUAUAUGGAUCACCAAAAAUGUCUCAACAAUGCAUACUCAAUACAAAAUAUGUAAUCAAUUUAAUUAUGCAAUAAAAUACUAUUUAAUAAUUAUAUCAAAAGCUAUGCAUGAAAAAUUCAAUCAUUGCAAAAGAGACAUUAUAAUCUUUAACCCAUAAAUUUGUGACUAUUAUAAAUUGUAAACCUCUUUGGUUGUUUCAAACAUAAGUGUGAAACUAAUAAAUUCAGGAAUAAAAUCACGACAAUUUUGACAAGAAAAAUGUUUGGACUAAAACUUUAGUAGUCAUAAAUAUAAUGCCAACAAUGUUUUACACAUGUAAAACUCAAAGUAGACUUUAACUCUUUUAAGCAACAUUUAAAUGACUAAAAUGUGAAAUAUAAAUAUAUCACAAAAGGCAGGAUGCAAAAGGCAUACUCACUAAAUUGUUGAUUGCGCUAAUUUAGUCAUAAAAGUAAUUAAUGACAAAUAUUGGGGUGCAUCAUUAGUCAAUUGAAUAGUUGUCGCCCAAUUAUUCUCUCAACUUGUACUUGCUAAAUUGGGUCUCCAUUCCCCUUCCAUCAAGCAUAAUUCCACAUCGUCAAGAAGGCAAGAAUCUACCACAAUUCUAAUACUAGAGAAGUUCUAUAUGUGCUUGAACAAGAGAGAAUUAUCAUAUCUUCAUGUAUUUAUCAAACAUACACAUUGUCAUGCAGCAAAUACCAACACAUGUAUGAGCAUAUACAUAGAUAGAGGCCCAUGCUGCACUCCCAAGCAAGCAUGAAUAAAGAUAUGCCACCAAAUACCAACACAAGCUCGUGUCUACACUUACUUAAGCAUAUUGGCAUGGACAUCACCAAUCGACUAAUGAUUGUAUGCACUCUAGCAUAUUCCCAAGAAUGAUGGGACAACACUAUGAGGAAUACUAGAGAAUUUUGUUCCAAAGUCAAAUGACACCUAUUUUCAAAAUUUAUAAGCAUAAUAAUGUAAGGUAAAAAGAGCGUAAUUCUAGUGGUAAAACAUAGAAAUCCCACAUGACAGCAUCCAUUGUUUCGCUGAAAAUACUUAUAUAUAACCUAGUCCGACAUGGGCAAGCUCGAUAAGAUUUUGUAGAGGUGGAGGCAAAGACAAGUUAAAUAGCAAAUAAAAACAGUUAUAAACUGGCUUCAUAAAUGUACAUUAAACAAAUUUUAGCAUGAGAAUAGGAAGAAUUAAGGACAAAUAGAAACUAUUUUGAGUAAUAGCGAAGUGCCCCAAUUUCCAAUCCUAAAUGGAUGAUUAUUAAAAUAAUCACGAACUUGAGAGAGAAAACGCCUACACACAUCCAACUUUCUAUUGGAAAAAAAAGUAUAGGUAUUGAAGUCCCAAAAUAAAAAUAAAUAUAUAAAAGAAAUAUUAGCCCAAUUUCUUUCCAUUUCUUUUAUGGUUUUCCUUUUCUAUUUCUUUCUAAGUAGCCACAUGGAAUCACUAUGCCAUUUUUAAAGAUUUUCUAAAUAGGUAAUUUUGAAAAUCUGUAAGCCUCUUCCGUAAAAGUAUAAGAGCACACAUUCAUGGAAUAUGUCUAACAAGAUCAAAUCAAAUCUAAAGAGAACACACAAGCUCGUGACGCCAAAUUUCAAAUGUUAGAAUGAAAGGAUCUCGACCUAUGUGAUGAUGAUUUCUCAAAAUGUGGAAACAACGCGCCAAAAUGGCAAUUACGCCCUUCAAGCAUUAAUUUAGAGUUUCCAAAAAACAACUUUACUUGAAACUCAAUGACCUUACCAGAACAACCAAAAGCUAUUUUGUGUUAAUGCUUGAUACCGUCCCAUGAUGAACCACCCAAGAAUAUGUGAUUCUUGCCCUUCACCAUCUUCAAAUCCUUGUUCAAUUCCAAGGUCGGUGGAAGCACCAUCAAUUCCAAUUUUGAAAGCUAUAAGGCAAUUAUCCUUAAGAUCGUUGGAAAAAGUAUUAGAAUACAUAAAAUAAUAAUAAUUAUUGGAAAUACAUUACAAAAGAUUAGAAAAUAAAAGAAAUGUAUGAGGCAUGCAAACACUAUCCUUAAGGAUAAUUCCAUCCCUCGAAGUAAGAAACUCGGUUCGUAAGGCUUCAACGGCUAUCCUCCCAAGAUAC
rnacentral:lncRNA from 1 species